CACAAAAACCAUAUCAUGUAAAAUUGAUACAAAAACUCCAUUUCAAAGUAAAAUGAUUUAAAUUUAGUUUUUAUUAAUUUUUAUUUGGCUUCAACGCCAGAUCCGCCUCCUCUUCGUCCUCCUUCCUCACCAGCGCCACUUACACCUUCUCCAACUCCAAUAAAAUCAAAUCUCACUUCUAAACCACCUCCACCAUCACCACCGCCAAUUUUACGACCUUCGAUUAGUUCUGAGAUUGUUAUCCCAUCGAUUGGAUGGAAAUUUGCUCCUAACAAAUGAUUUAGAUCUUCUUACCAUUAAAUCGAAUUGAAAAUUUCUGAAAGGAUACAAAAGGAAAGGGUAUCUCUUUGAAGGAUAAAUUUAAGGGGAACUCAUUUGGAAUGUGGCAGAAAUGAUUCGUAAAAAUUGGGAGUUGGGUUUUAUUAUCGCAAACAUAAUCUAGGAUCAGAAGAUUAUGAAGAUAAAGCACAAAACUGCAAGAGUAAAAGGGUGGAAUUCAAGACGUUCGAGAUGAUGUGAAGACAACUUAGAAUUGAGGUACCACUUACUGGGUAACAACGAAAAAAGGAAAGCACAAAACAACGUUCUUACCAGGAUAUUUUGCUAGUCGUACGACAACUCUUUUAGUGGCUCUUGUUUUGGUUAUAAAUGCGAGAAAGCUUGUACAUAAGGAAGGAAACAUGUUUGCACUU